UACUUAAACUGCGUACUCAUUUACUUAAACUGCGUACUCAUUUACUUAAACUGCGUACUCAUUUACUUAAACUGCGUACUCAUUUACUUAAACUGCGUACUCAUUUCGGCGUUUGAUCUAGUACAAUUCAUUGGUCUUUUCUGACUCACGUGUUAGACGACAGCUGAUAAUCAGAUAAAUUGACCUGCUGUACUAUUUUCUAAACUUCACAUACUAGAAAACUUUAUUUUUUCACAUACUAUAGUACGCUAGUAUGGGUAUUGGGAGAUGGUCCAUGACUUAUUUCCAUAUGUUCCAUGUUUUCCACCUGUAGGUUUUCCUCAUUGACCUGGUGGUGUUUGAUUGUAAAUGUCCAUGUUUUCCACCUGUAGGUUUUCCUCAUUGACCUGGUGGUGUUUGAUUGUAAAUGUCCAUGUUUUCCACCUGUAGGUUUUCCUCAUUGACCUGGUGGUGAUUGAUUGUAAAUGUCCAUGUUUUCCACCUGUAGGUUCUCCUCAUCGGCCUGGUGGUGUUUGAUUGAUUGAUUGUAACUUUCCAUGUUUUCCACCUGUAGGUUCUCCUCAUCGGCCUGGUGGUGUUUGAUUGAUUGAUUGUAACUUUCCAUGUUUUCCACCUGUAGGUUCUCCUCAUUGACCUGGUGGUGUUUGAUUGAUUGAUUGUAACUUUCCAUGUUUUCCACCUGUAGGUUUUCCUCAUCGGCCUGUUGGUGUCAUGUUGUAAGGGGAAGAAAUCAGUGAUCGAAGGAGAGGUGGAGGCAGAUGACUCUGACAUGAGUGAAGACGAAUAUGUCCACUGACAAGACCACAGCCUGCCGGACCUGGGUUCAAAUACUAUUUGAAAUGUUUUAAAUACUUUUGAGCAUUUGCUUUAGCCUGCCUGGGAGUGUCGGGUGGGCGGGGUUUGCAUGUUCUGGACUUUUCUAUGGGUUCACCUGCAAAAGGCAAGCUUAAUCAAAUACAAUUGAAGUAUUUUAAAUCAUUUUAAACAGUGUGCCCUAAUGAAUAUGGCCCAGGUCUGCUACCUGCACGGACCAGGAGACAUUUGAACCGGAUUGGUUUCUGUUACAGCUGGUUUGCUAUAACAUAAGAAUAUGACAUUUGGAUUGUUCAUACAAGGCAGUAAAACUUUAAUUUGAACUGUUGUUUUCUGGUUUCUGCCUGAGAUUGGUUAAUAUUCCACAACGUUGUGUUGAUACUGAUGUAUUAUAACAGGAGAGGGUGAUGGUGAGGUUGCUUUUUACUAUUAGGGCAACUUUUUUUUUUUUGUUCAGUCAAGUGUCUUUGUUCAAAGCAGUAUGUAAACCCUGAAUGCAUCCCAAAUGGCACCCUAUUUCAAAUAUAGUGCACUUCUUUUGACCAAAGCCCUAUUGGACCCCGGUCACAAGUAGUGCACUAUAUAGGAUAUAGUGUUCCAUUUGAGAUGCAACCCUCUUUGUGUUACUACGGGUAUGUGCCUGUUGUUUCAAAUGUGAUCUCCACCAAUUCCAUGUUUUAUGUUUCCAAAAAGAAAGAUUUAGUGUUGCAAAAUUCUGGUAUAUUUUCCAAAAUGAGAGGAUUCUGAAUUCCCUGCUUAUUACCCUCACUAUUCUGGGAAUCUUCAAAUGGGGACGAAAAAGACAGAAAAACUAGGUGAAAGUUCCUAACAUUUUCCAACCCUAAGAAAGAUCCCUGGUUGAGAACCAAACGGUGGUACUGGAUGUUUUGGAUCCUGAAAAGACAAGAUGUUGUCGGGGAAACAAUAGUCCAGGAUUACUUUGUUUCUUAUUUAUUUGAACUCAGCACAUUUUUGUUGUCAUGUACAUUUCUGUAAUAUAUGGCUGGAUAAAUGUUUAUUUUAGCCUUUAACAGAUGUAUUAUUUUUAAGAUUACUAACUUAGCACAUUCAGCAUGUUAACUUACAUCAACAAAUAUAGACAUGUAUUUGAGACCAUAUUGAUAAUGCACAUUGCUGAGUUAAAAUAUAUAUUCUGUUAUCCCUGAUUUUGGUGGUGUUUGGUUGGCCUUAGCUUGACUAACUGUUAUUGCGUUAAUGAAUUGAUUUGCUGUAAAGUUAUCUGAACAUGAACCGAGCAUAAUAUCACUUGACUACUGAUCACGAUAUCAAUUUACUUUAUGAAUUUGGAAUAAAAUAUGAAUUCUGAAUUGA